rnacentral:rRNA from 1 species
AGUGAACGCUGGCGGUAGGCCUAACACAUGCAAGUCGAACGGCAGCACAGUAAGAGCUUGCUCUUACGGGUGGCGAGUGGCGGACGGGUGAGGAAUACAUCGGAAUCUACUUUUUCGUGGGGGAUAACGUAGGGAAACUUACGCUAAUACCGCAUACGACCUACGGGUGAAAGCAGGGGAUCUUCGGACCUUGCGCGAUUGAAUGAGCCGAUGUCGGAUUAGCUAGUUGGCGGGGUAAAGGCCCACCAAGGCGACGAUCCGUAGCUGGUCUGAGAGGAUGAUCAGCCACACUGGAACUGAGGCACGGUCCAGACUCCUACGGGAGGCAGCAGUGGGGAAUAUUGGACAAUGGGCGCAAGCCUGAUCCAGCCAUACCGCGUGGGUGAAGAAGGCCUUCGGGUUGUAAAGCCCUUUUGUUGGGAAAGAAAAGCAGCAGGUUAAUACCCCGCUGUUCUGACGGUACCCAAAGAAUAAGCACCGGCUAACGUCGUG